UACGUAGGGUGCGAGCGUUGUCCGGAAUUAUUGGGCGUAAAGAGCUCGUAGGCGGUGUGUCACGUCGUUCGUGAAAACCUGCAGCUUAACUGUGGGCGUGCGGUCGAUACGGGCAUCACUGGAGUUCGGCAGGGGAGACUGGAAUUCCUGGUGUAGCGGUGAAAUGCGCAGAUAUCAGGAGGAACACCGGUGGCGAAGGUGGGUCUCUGGGCCG
rnacentral:rRNA from 1 species